AAAAUAUUUUUUUUAAAAAAAAAGGAAAAAAAUGUUUCUCUCCCUCCCUCUUCUUCCUCCCAACGACCCUCUCUGUGUGCCUUAGCAGCCGCCGACCAUCUCCUCUCCAGCCGGCACCGUGCGUCCGAUCGAGCCGCCACCAGUUCGUCGGGUCGUUCGUGGGCCGUCGUUCGCGCAGUCGAACCCUCACCAGCAAGCUGCGUUCGCUCGUGACCCAGGCCGCCGUCCCUCCUCGCGUCUCAGCCGCAUCGCCCAGCGUUCCACUCGCCGAACAGCCCAGCCGCACAAUCUCUGUUCCGCCCCUUUUCGCUGACGCUGGAAGUCGCCGCCCCAGCCCGACCAGCCGUUCGCUCGCCCAGCCAAUCUCCCAGAUGCGAAGCCGCGCCACGCUGCCGCUCGUCCAGAUCCUCCGUCGCAGAUCUCCUCUGCCACAGGCCUUCUGCACACCGACCUCACCAGAUCAGUCGCCGUCAUCCGCGUUCGUCCGACGCCACCCCGCCCCUGUCGUCGUCUUGGUGCCGUCAGAUCUGUUUGGAUAAGUUUGGGCUAUUUUUUUUUAAUUGAAUUUCUUGGUCGGUGGUGUUUCGCUUCGAUAUUUGUUUGGGCUUUAAAAUCGAGUUUUGGAGAAGCUAUGCUGUCAAGAGGAUUUGGAAGUGGUUUCAACAAGCUUUUGGGUAAGUUUUGGGUCUUCGGUGAUCAUUUUUGGAUACCUACUAAGUAAUGACUUAUUUAUUGUUUCAGUUGUGAUAUAAAAGGUUGGAAUUGAAGGUUCAAAGCGGCUGUCCAUUGAGAGUAAAGGUUGGAUUUGUGACUAGAGUAGUUGGGUUGUAUUGAUUUUGUAGCAUGAGGUGAUGUUCGGAUCAAUAGGGCCUGAUUCAAGAUUCAUCUAAGCUAGGAGGAAGAUUAUUUUGCUUGUCACUUAGACGUAAUUUUGAUAAGGGCAAGGAUGUACUGUCAAAUGACAAGAGGAAGAGCCACUGGGGACCAGUUUUAUGCUUCCGCUCAUAAGAUUUAGAUUUCUUUUCAUGUUUUUCUUAACUUCCAGUUUUGAUGUUUGAAACUUACUAUUAAGAAUUGUUUUCAGACCUAUU